ACGGGGUGCAGCAGGCGCGAAACCUCCACAAUUCACGAAAGUGAGAUGGGGUUACCUCGAGUGCCGCCUGAUGAAGGCGGCUUUUCCAUUGUGUAAUGAGCCGUGGGAAUAAGAGGGGGGCAAGACUGGUGUCAGCCGCCGCGGUAACACCAGCCCCUCGAGUGGUGGGGAUGAUUAUUUGGCCUAAAGCGUCCGUAGCCGGCCCUGUAAAUCUCUCGUUAAAUCCAGCGUCCUAAGCGUUGGGCUGCGAGGGAAACUGCAGAGCUAGAGGGUGGGAGAGGUCAGCGGUAUUCCUGGGGUAGGGGCGAAAUCCAUUGAUCCCAGGAGGACCACCAGUGGCGAAGGCUGCUGACUUGAACACGCCUGACGGUGAGGGACGAAAGCUGGGGUAGCGAAUCGGAUUAGAUACCCGAGUAGUCCCAGCCGUAAACGAUGCAGGCUAGGUGUUGGGUCGGCCACGUGCUGGCUCAGUGCCACAGGGAAGUCAUUAAGCCUGCCGCCUGGGAGUACGCCGCAAGC
rnacentral:rRNA from 1 species